rnacentral:rRNA from 1 species
GCUUACGACCACACCGGCCUGAGUACGCCUGAUCUCGUCUGAUCUCGGAAGCUAAGCAGGUCGGGCCUGGUUAGUACUUGGAUGGGAGACCGCCUGGGAACCAGGUGCUGUAAGCU